UCGGGAAUUUUCUUGGUGCUAU
rnacentral:piRNA from 1 species